AGAGUUUGAUCCUGGCUCAGGACGAACGCUGGCGGCGUGCCUAACACAUGCAAGUCGAACGGAGUAAAACGCUGAAUUUGAUAUUAGUUUACUGAUGGAUUAUUCUUGUUUUACUUAGUGGCGGACGGGUGAGUAACGCGUGAGGAACCUGCCCUUCAGAGGGGGACAACAGUUGGAAACGACUGCUAAUACCGCAUGAAGUAUCUCUGGGACAUCCCUAAGAUACCAAAGGAGCAAUCCGCUGAAGGAUGGCCUCGCGUCCGAUUAGAUAGUUGGUGGGGUAACGGCCCACCAAGUCGACGAUCGGUAGCCGGACUGAGAGGUUGAACGGCCACAUUGGGACUGAGACACGGCCCAGACUCCUACGGGAGGCAGCAGUAGGGAAUUUUGCGCAAUGGGGGAAACCCUGACGCAGCAACGCCGCGUGAAUGAUUAAGCCCUUCGGGGUGUAAAGUUCUGUCAGUGGGGGCGAAACUUGACGGUACCCACAGAGGAAGCACCGGCUAACUCCGUGCCAGCAGCCGCGGUAAUACGGAGGGUGCGAGCGUUGUCCGGAAUCAUUGGGCGUAAAGAGUUCGUAGGCGGUACGUUAAGUCAGGUGUUAAAGGCAGAGGCUCAACUUCUGUAUGGCACUUGAUACUGGCGAACUAGAAUGCGGUAGAGGUAAAGGGAAUUCCUGGUGUAGCGGUGAAAUGCGUAGAUAUCAGGAGGAACAUCGGUGGCGUAAGCGCUUUACUGGGCCGUAAUUGACGCUGAGGAACGAAAGCCGGGGUAGCAAAUGGGAUUAGAUACCCCAGUAGUCCCGGCCGUAAACGAUGGAUACUAAGUGUGAGAGGUACUGACCCCUCUCGUGCUGGAGUUAACGCAUUAAGUAUCCCACCUGGGGAGUACGAUCGCAAGGUUGAAACUCAAAGGAAUUGACGGGGGCCCGCACAAGCAGUGGAGUAUGUGGUUUAAUUCGAAGCAACGCGAAAAACCUUACCAGGCCUUGACAUCCAACUAACGAAGUAGAGAUACAUUAGGUGCCCUUCGGGGAAAGUUGAGACAGGUGGUGCAUGGUUGUCGUCAGCUCGUGUCGUGAGAUGUUGGGUUAAGUCCCGCAACGAGCGCAACCCUUACUGUUAGUUGCUACGCAAGAGCACUCUAACAGGACUGCCGUUGACAAAACGGAGGAAGGUGGGGACGACGUCAAAUCAUCAUGCCCUUUAUGUCUUGGGCUUCACGCAUGCUACAAUGGCCGGUACAAAGGGUUGCGAUACUGUGAGGUGGAGCUAAUCCCAAAAAGCCGGUCUCAGUUCGGAUUGAGGUCUGCAACUCGACCUCAUGAAGUUGGAGUCGCUAGUAAUCGCGGAUCAGCAUGCCGCGGUGAAUACGUUCCCGGGCCUUGCACUCACCGCCCGUCA
rnacentral:rRNA from 1 species